rfam:Bacteroidetes bacterium OLB10 TZ10_BCD003CONTIG000043, whole genome shotgun sequence.
GGGGCCGAAAGGUUUCGACAGGUUGCGCAAUAGGUGCGUAAGCAUGCCGGGUGCUGUGAACACGACCCGUAAAUCCCGAUUCACAACUCGCUUAAAUGGCGAAACAAACUACGCGCUUGCGGCUUAAUUCUUCCAAGAAGAAUUGCCUAAUCGUGUCACCAGGUGGCACGACAAGCUGUCCCUCCUGAACUUACGUUCAUAGAGUUCAGACCAGGGGCAUCACAAAUAUGAACUGGUUGCUGUAGUGCUCUGAUGCAGCAAUAAGAUUAAAGAGCUAAGGAAAAGGAUGGUAAGCUUUCCGCCUUGCCAUUUCCCUACAACUAAGCGAAAGAUAAGCAUGUAGAAAGCGUAUUGAUUCCAACUCUGGACGUGAGUUCAAAUCUCACCGGCUCCACUA